AUUGAACGCUGGCGGCAUGCUUUACACAUGCAAGUCGAACGGCCGCGGGGAGGAGCUUGCUUCUCUGCCGGCGAGUGGCGAGCGGGUGGGUAAUAUCUCGGAACUUGUCGAGAGGAGGGGAAUAUCCACCCGAAAGGGUGCCUAAUACGGCAUAUAUUCUGAGGAAGAAAGCUCGGGACCUAGGAAUAGGCCUAGCGCUUUUUGUGCGGCCGAUCUCGGCUUAUCUAGUUGGUGAGGUAAAGGCUCACCAAGGCGACGAUCUGUAGCGGGUCUGAGAGGAUGAUCCGCCACACGGGGACUAGGACACGGCCCAGACUCCGACGGGAGGCAGGAGUGGGGAAUUUUGGGCAGGGGGGAGAGCCCAGAUCCAGACAUGCCGGGGGAAUGAAGAAGGCCUUAGGGUUGUAAAGUACGUUUGUUAGGGAAGAAAAGUCAGCUGUGAAUAGUGGAUGAUACGGACGGAACCGAAAGAAUAAGCACGGCCUAACCACGU
rnacentral:rRNA from 1 species